rnacentral:piRNA from 1 species
ACAGCUAGGGCUAUGCAGAGAAAC